GUGGGGAAUAUUGGAGACAAUGGGCGAAAGCCUGAUCCAGCCAUGCCGCGUGAGUGAUGAAGGCCUUAGGGUUGUAAAGCUCUUUUACCCGGGAAGAWAAUGACGGUACCGGGAGAAUAAGCCCCGGCUAACUCCGUGCCAACAGCCGCGGUAAUACU
rnacentral:rRNA from 1 species